UGCCAGCCGCCGCGGUAAUACGGAGGGUGCAAGCGUUAAUCGGAAUUACUGGGCGUAAAGCGCACGUAGGUGGAUUGAUCAGUCAGAUGUGAAAGCCCCGGGCUCAACCUGGGAAAGUCAUCUGAUACUGUCAGUCUAGAGUACAGUAGAGGGUAGCGGAAUUUCCGGUGUAGCGGUGAAAUGCGUAGAUAUCGGAAGGAACACCAGUUGCGAAGGCGGCUACCUGGAUUGAUACUGACACUGAGGUGCGAAAGCGUGGGGAGCAAACAGGAUUAGAUA
rnacentral:rRNA from 1 species